rnacentral:rRNA from 1 species
AAUUUUGGACAAUGGACGCAAGUCUGAUCCAGCCAUGCCGCGUGCGGGAUGAAGGCCUUCGGGUUGUAAAGCUCUGUGGGGAGGGACGAAAAAGGUGGGCAAUAAUAAGGCUCGCCCUUGACGGUACCUCCUUAGCAAGCACCGGCUAACUCUGUGCCAGCAGCCGCGGUAAGACAGAGGGUGCGAACGUUGCUCGGAAUUACUGGGCGUAAAGCGCGUGUAGGCGGGUGAUCAAGUCGGGUGUGAAAUCCCCAGGCUCAACCUGGGAACUGCAUUCGAAACUGGUUGCCUUGAGUGUUGGAGAGGGAAGCGGAAUUCCUGGUGUAGAGGUGAAAUUCGUAGAUAUCAGGAGGAACACCGGUGGCGAAGGCGGCUUCCUGGACAAUUACUGACGCUGAGACGCGAAAGCGUGGGGAGCAAAC